AUUGAACGCUGGCGGCAUGCCUUACACAUGCAAGUCGAACGGUAACAGGUCUUCGGAUGCUGACGAGUGGCGAACGGGUGAGUAAUACAUCGGAACGUGCCCGAGAGUGGGGGAUAACGAGGCGAAAGCUUUGCUAAUACCGCAUACGAUCUCAGGAUGAAAGCAGGGGACCGCAAGGCCUUGCGCUCACGGAGCGGCCGAUGGCAGAUUAGGUAGUUGGUGGGAUAAAAGCUUACCAAGCCGACGAUCUGUAGCUGGUCUGGGAGGACGACCAGCCACACUGGGACUGAGACACGGCCCAGACUCCUACGGGAGGCAGCAGUGGGGAAUUUUGGACAAUGGGCGCAAGCCUGAUCCAGCCAUGCCGCGUGCAGGAUGAAGGCCUUCGGGUUGUAAACUGCUUUUGUACGGAACGAAAAGACUCCUUCUAAUAAAGGGGGUUCAUGACGGUACCGUAAGAAUAAGCACCGGCUAACUACGUGCCAGCCGCCGCAGUAAGAC
rnacentral:rRNA from 1 species